CCUGCUGGACUAUAUGCCCUUUAAAGCAAGUAGAGCACAUUACUCAUCACUCAAUCUCCAGGACCAAGUUAAUGUUCUGUAUAUAGUAAUGUCGACAGCAACAUCUCCCCCAGGUGUAACAACUAAACGUGUCUCCAGACAUUGGCAAAUAUCCUUGGGCCAUGGAGAAAACAUCACCUUCAAUUGAAAACCACUGGGCCACUCUAAUGCCUUCAAGGGACAGAUCCCAGGUCUAAACCCUAGCCAAAACCCCUUGUGUUAGAGGAGCUCACCCUUUACUGCUGAUGAAAUCUCCAUGAUGAAGUGCUUUCCUGGUGACACCCAGAGAUCGUUUGCUAUGUGAAUGCUUUUCUUGCUCAAAUUUCAACAAACAUGAUUGGUAGGUGCUCUAUUUAGGCUGUAUAGAAAGCACCAGAACAUAGCGUGAUGGAGGCAGCAUGAACUCCUCAAAAUUGCCAAUACCAGCUCUAAAAUGAAAACAUACAUUAUCUUCAUACAUCAGAAGAAUGAAUACUGUUAAAAUUACCUUACUACUCAAAGUGAUCCACAGAUUUAAUGCAAUCUCCAUCAAAUGACAUUCUUCACAGAAAUAGAAAAAGUGAUCCUAAAAUCUGUGUAGAACCGUAACACUUUGAAUAGACAAAGUAAUCUAAGGAAAAAGAACAAAGCUGGAGACAUCACAUAACCUGACUUCAAAAUAUACUACAAGGCUACAAUAACAGAAACAACAUGAUAUUUGUAUGAAAGCAGACACAUAGACCAAUGAAACAGAAUAGAGAACCCAGAAAAAAAUCCACAUAUUUAUAGCCAAAAUAUCUUUUGACAAAGUGCCAAAAACAUACAUUAGGGAAAAGACACCAUCAUUGAUAAAUGAUACUAGAGAAAUUGGAUAUCCAUAUGCAGAAAAAUGAAGCUAGACCCCUAUCUCUCACCAUAUACAUAUAAAAAUCAACUCAAAAUGGAUUCAAGACUUAGAUGUAGACCAGAAAAUUUUUACUAUAAAAAAGACCAGAAACUAUAAAACUACUGGAAGAAAAUAUAGGGGGAAAAUGUUAGGAUACUGGCCUACGUAAAGAUAUUAUGACUAAGACUUCAAAAGCACAGGCAACAAAAACAAAAAUUGACAAGUGGGACUACAUGAAACUAAAAGGUUCUUGCACAGCAAAGGAAACAGUCAACAGAGUGAAGAGACAACCUGUAGAACAGAAGAAAGUAUUUGCAAACUAGUCAUCCAACAAUGAACUAAUAUCUAUAUUAUACAAGGAUCUCAAACGAUUCAAUAAAGAAGUUUUGAAGUACUAAAUCGCUAACACCUGGAAUUUCAAAGACAACAGUGGAAAGGAAAUGAGACUUGGAAUCAAAAGACUUCAGUUUCAAUCUAAAGUCCCUGAAUGUGUAAACUAUUGUGA
rnacentral:lncRNA from 1 species